rnacentral:tRNA from 1 species
GACGAGGUGGCCGAGUGGUUAAGGCAAGGGACUGCUAAUCCAUUGUGCAUUGCACGCGUCGUCG